GAACGAUACAGUCUUGAAGAAAACCAAUUCUUAGCCGCAGUAACAAACACAAUUUGGGAUUAUGGAAUACUGGUAAAAGUUCUCGAGGCAGAAUUAUCGGCAGCGAAGAACUUGCUCAUCAAUUGGGCUUAUGCGAAAAUUCGGCAGAUCCACUUUUGACCUUGAUAGUCUGAUAGAAAGAUGGCAUAAUUCAAAUACAUGGGAAACUAAGGAAGAGGAACUGAGUCGAGAAGGGCCAAUUAUUUUUGCCACCGUAGCCAGCAGCAGGAUAGGAUUAUGUUGGACCCUCUGAGACGACCGUCGUACAUCAAACGGCUCUUCCGUGCCGUUGGCUAUUCACCGAAUAAUGAAUAAUCACCGCUCACCAAAUCCGCAUUCGUUCGACCCCGAAUUAUGAUUGCAGAGAUAUUGGUGAUUGUCGAUUGUUGGGGGGAGGGGGCAUUGGCACGGAUGAUCCGGCAGAUGUACGACAAGGACGAGGCAAAUAACUUAUCAUAUUUGAAUGGAUCAGUAGUAAUGUAACCACCAGCGCUU